UUCAUUUUCUUUGUGCUUUGGGUGAGGACGGAUCUGGCGCUCUGGAUACUAACUAGGCACUAAUUCAAUUGGUGCUUUCUCCGACGGUCUGCUUGCAUACCGGUGCCAGACCCACUGGUCCUUUGUGUACUGCCCGCCCUGCAUGUGUCUGGGCUCCCCUGGCCAGUCCGUUUUUUUGUCUCUGAUGGUUAAUAAGCUUUGAGCCUAGUAGUCAAAUGUGGUGGGAACGGGGACAAGACGAGGGUCCUUACUGAAGGUGUUUGUUGUUAAAUAGAACAAUUCAGCUGUCUCUUUAGAAAACUUGACAAAAGGAAAUGCUCCCUGCUGAGAAUUUUCUUAGCCUGUUGCACAAAAGAUGAAGUUUGUUUAAGAAAUUGCUGCUAAAGAAAGCGUCAACCCAUUAAGUCUUACCUUUUCCGGAAUAUUAUAGUUGGAAUCAAACAAUGUGUGAACCCUCCAGCUUGAACUUUUUCACUUAGAGAACCGUCUUUCAACAUAAGGUCCAGGCUGUGACUAGACUGAAGUACUAUGAUUCAACCUAAUUACCAGCUUCAGUGUUAUGCAUAUUUAUGGACACUGUAACCCUGAAAAAUCUUUCUUAGAGUACCUUCAAUUAUUGUAAGAUAAGAUCAAAUCCUGUUUUUCUGAGGUCAGUUCAAGGUGUCUCCUACAAGUAUCACAGAAAUUGAAUUGAACAAAACUGUCUUCUGAAGUCCUUUGCAUUUGUAACUCAGUUAUAAGUUUUCUUAGCAUACCCAUCAGAUGCACAUUUCAUUAUAGGUCCCACUUUUGCUCAAGCAUGUUUCCAUUAUUAAAUGUCAACUGUGAAAGUCCUUUCUGUCCAAUGGAUGAGUUUUUCAGCAGUAGCUGUGAGGAUGGCUCACUAAUUUGAUUUCAAACAUUUUUUCCUAAUGUUGUAUAGCAGUUUCCCCUGGACUCAUCAUGGCUUACUUAGUACUGUGUCCCCCAUUGUCAUAAAUCUUCAAGUGAAUAAAAACCGAAACUAUAAUUCA